UGCAAAUGAUGAGAGCCUGGCCA
rnacentral:piRNA from 1 species